rnacentral:rRNA from 1 species
UACGUAGGCAGCGAGCGUUGUUCGGAGUUACUGGGCGUAAAGAGUGCGUAGGCGGUUUUCUAAGUUUGGUGUGAAAUCUCCCGGCUUAACUGGGAGGGUGCGCCGAAGACUGGAAGGCUAGAGUAUGGGAGAGGUAAGCGGAAUUCCUGGUGUAGCGGUGAAAUGCGUAGAUAUCGGAAGGAACACCUGUGGCGAAAGCGGCUCACUGGACCAUAACUGACGCUGAGGCGCGAAAGCUAGGGGAGCAAACAGG